AAAUCAUUUGUAGCAUUUGAAAAAAAAAAAAAGUGAGGGGGGGAAAUUCUCUCUGGACCAGGUCCAACUCCGACCAGGAGGGCUGCCGUCGCCGUCAUCGCCGGCCACCGUGUAGGUGCAAGUGGAGGGCGGUGGAUGUGACGUGGAGGUGGCAGCAGAGGUGGUGGCUAGGCUCUGACAGUGGCUAGGGCGCCACUUAGGGAUAGGGGGCUAAGGUUUAUUUCUUUUUUUUUUUUGUAUGUUAAGGUCUUUAGUGGGCUUAGGGUUUAAUUUAUUUGGGCCAAAAUUGGGCUUCUACACUAUGCUUAUAGUUCAUAAUAAAUUAAGCAUUUUCCUUUUACAACAAA